UACAGAGUUGGCAAGCCCUGGUCGGAAUUACUGGGCGUAAAGGGCGCGUAGGCGGCCCGAAAAGUCCCGCGUGAAAUCCCCCGGCUCAACUGGGGAACUGCGCGGGAAACUGCCGGGCUGGAGUUCGGGAGAGGGAAGCGGAAUUCCGGGUGUAGCGGUGAAAUGCGUAGAUAUCCGGAGGAACACCGGUGGCGAAGGCGGCUUCCUGGACGGACACUGACGCUGAGGCGCGAAAGGUAGGGGAGCAAGCGGG
rnacentral:rRNA from 1 species